AAGCCUGCUUCGAGAUGAGUAUUCCCACCCACUUGAUGGGGUAAGGCUCCCAGUAGACGACUGGGUUGAUAGGCCGGAUCUGGAAGCACAGUAAUGUGUGGAGGUGACCGGUACUAAUAGGCCGAGGGCUUGUCCAUA
rnacentral:rRNA from 1 species